GACGAACGCUGGCGGCGUGCCUAAUACAUGCAAGUUGAGCGAUGAAGAUUGGUGCUUGCACCAAUUUGAAGAGCAGCGAACGGGUGAGUAACGCGUGGGGAAUCUGCCUUUGAGCGGGGGACAACAUUUGGAAACGAAUGCUAAUGCCGCAUAACAACUUUAAACAUAAGUUUUAAGUUUGAAAGAUGCAAUUGCAUCACUCAAAGAUGAUCCCGCGUUGUAUUAGCUAGUUGGUGAGGUAAAGGCUCACCAAGGCGAUGAUACAUAGCCGACCUGAGAGGGUGAGCGGCGACGAUGGGCAUGAGACACGGCCCAAAAUCCUGCGGGAGGAAGCAGUAGGGAAUCUUCGGCAGUGGCCGAGAGACUGAACGGGAGACGACGCGAGAGAGAAGAAGCAUGUCGGAUCGUAGAAGUCUGUUGGUAGGGAGGAACGUUAGUGAGGGUGGAAAGCUAAUAGAAUGACGGUACCUGGCCAGAAAGCGACGGCUAACUACGUG
rnacentral:rRNA from 1 species